UUUGAAUGUAGAAGGAAUUUAUUAUGAUUCCACUGCUUUUGGCAUUCUUUGAGGAUAUAUAUCAACAUAAUUUCAAGAAUUCAAACUUCUGAAGUUGGAUUUUACUGUUGCUAAGCCACAUUGCCCAUCAUGUUGGAAGGUUUUGUUGCUGUAAGCUAAAAUUAAUCAUAAAAAAAGUAAUUGUUUUCACUAAAGUUCAUUGAGUUUUCUGUGGGUUCCAUUGGGAAUGGGAAAUUGAAGAAUAAUCUGGAGAGAAUUUGUUGGACUGGCUUGGCUAAGUUCAUGUAAGUUUCUACCCGAUUCUUUGGAUUUUUGGAGUCUUAUAUAUCCAGGCUAAUCGGUGAAGUUCGAGAAUACACAAACCUUAUGGAUCCGAAAGAUAAAAAAUUGGAGAAAGGAAAGGACAGAGUAGAUGAUGAAGAAGUUACUUUUCAACGUAUGGUCGCCAAGGUUAGCAAAUCUCGUCUGCUUCCUUUUCCGAGCCCCUAGAGUAUGGAAAGUAAAAAUAUUAUUUUUAUAGUGAACUUUGGCAUCAUCUUUCUGUAAUAAUUUAAAGAACUUUUAAUUGAUUAUGAUAUGUUCCUAAGCUUACGUUUCAUUUUCAUUUUAUGCACCAUUUGGUUGACUUGUAAGAAUUCCAAUGCGGUGAUCCUUUUACACGAUUCUGUCAUGUUGUAUGGACGACAGGAGAAAACAAAGCCGUAUGAUGGUCAGGAGGAGAUUGUGAAAGCACUGAAAGUGUUGGAGCGAGAUUCGAUAUAGCAAUCGCCAAGAGCUUCACCUCUCUCUUUUCUUCUCUCCAUUUAAUCCUCUCACAAGUUUCUAUACAAAUUAGCGUAAUCAAUUUUUUGUUGACUCUUGUUGUUUAUUUUAUUGAUGACUAUGUUUAGUAAACUGAAAUUGUAAGUUUUCUGCCCUUUGAUCGUAUAUUUCGGAGCAAAUUUCAUGAAAAGGUUGAAUCUUUCUAAAUUAUAAAAAAAAGAAAAGAAAAGGUGAGUUUUAAAUAGAUUCCUCCUUUAAAUAUGAGAUGAACUAAUUUAGAUGUUUCAAAAUAGUGUCUAGCUGACAAAUAUAAUGCAUUUAUGAAAUAUUCUAUACUAAUAAAGUUUACCCUGUUUCGAAUUUCCUCCUGCUUUAUAGAACAUGUGGAGAGAGGAGAGUUUUCUUCUUGUUUAAGUCUGUCUGGAACUUGAUUCUUGAGAGCAAUUCAAUGUCUCCUUUGGGUAGAGAAUGUUUUAAACACAAAAGAGAUGAUGCUCCAGAGAAAAUUAGAGUAGGUCAGCCAGGGGCGGAGCUACAUAGAGGCAAGUGAAGGCAUACGCCUCAUCUCAUCUGGGAUUUCUUACAACAAUUGAAGGCAGUGCCUGCAUUGGGGUUUCUAUAGGAUUGAAUUUGCUGGAAACUUGAAGGUUGGAUGCAGCCCCCAACUCGCUAUUGUUGCACUCUUCAAAAGUUUGAACGCAGGCAGAAUGGAAGGGGAGGGAAGGGAAGAUAAGUUUUUACUUGGGCCAAUUUUUAAUGUUUUCUAAAUUGUAACUUGUAAACCUUUUAUGUUGGGCUUUUUAUUUAUUUUUGACUGAGGCCCAUAUCCAUAUCCAUAGGCUUUUUGUAUUGUGAAAUGAUUAAGCAGACAAACCAAAUCCAGUUAUAGU